CCUACGGGUGACAGCAGUGGGGGAUAUUGCACAAUGGGGGGAACCCUGAUGCAGCGACGCCGCGUGGGUGAAGAAGCGCUUCGGCCCGUAAAGCCCUGUCAGCAGGGAAGAAAAUGACGGUACUUGAAGAAGAAGCCCCGGCUAACUACGUGCCAGCAGCCGCGGUAAUACGUAGGGGGCAAGCGUUAUCCGGAUUUACUGGGUGUAAAGGGAGCGCAGACGGCGAUGCAAGCCUGGAGUGAAAGCCCGGGGCACAACCCCGGGACUGCUCUUGAAACUGCCUGGCUGGAGUGCAGGAGAGGCAGGCGGAAUUCCUGGUGUAGCGGUGAAAUGCGUAGAUAUCAGGAGGAACACCGGUGGCGAAGGCGGCUUGCUGGACUGCAACUGACGUUGAGGCCCGAAAGCGUGGGGAGCAAACAGGAUUAGAUACCCGUGUAGUC
rnacentral:rRNA from 1 species